GCUACGGGUGGCAGCAGUGGGGAAUAUUGCACAAUGGGGGAAACCCUGAUGCAGCGACGCCGCGUGAGUGAAGAAGUAAUUCGUUACGUAAAGCUCUAUCAGCAGGGAAGAAAAUGACGGUACCUGAGUAUGAAGCCCCGGCUAAAUACGUGCCAGCAGCCGCGGUAAUACGUAGGGGGCAAGCGUUCGGCGGAUUUACUGGGUGUAAGGGGAGCGUAGACGGUGGUGCAAGUCUGAGGUGAAAGCCCUAGGCUUAACUGCGGAGCUGCUUUGGAAACUGGCGAACUAGAGUGCGGGAGGGGUAAGCGGAAUUCCUAGUGUAGCGGUGAAAUGCGUAGAGAUUAGGAGGAACACCGGUGGCGAAGGCGGCUUACUGGACCGUAACUGACGUUGAUGCGCGAAAGCGUGGGGAGCAAACAGGAUUAGAUACCCCAGUAGUC
rnacentral:rRNA from 1 species